rnacentral:rRNA from 1 species
GACGAACGCUGGCGGCGUGCUUAACACAUCCAAGUCGAACGGAAAGGCCCUGCUUUUGUGGGGUGCUCGAGUGGCGAACGGGUGAGUAACACGUGAGUAACCUUCCCUUGACUUUGGGAUAACUUCACGAAACUGGGGCUAAUACCGGAUAGCAGCCCCUGCUGCAUGGUGGGGGUUGGCAAGUUUCGGCGGCUGGGGAUGGACUCGCGGCUCCUCAGCUUGUUGGUGGGGUGGUGGCUUACCCAGGCGUUGGCGGGUAGCCGGCCUGGGAGGGUGACCGGCCAGAGGGGGACAGAGGGACGGCCCGGACUGGUACGGGGGGCAGCGGUGGGGGAUAGUGCACAAGGGGCGGAAGCCGGGUGGAGCGAGGCCGCGCGGGGGAUGGCGGCCUGGGGGUUGGAACCCGGGUUCGCCUGGGACGAAGCGUGGGUGCCGGUAAUGGGGAAAGAAGCACCGGAUAAUUAGGUG